UACGGGGGGGGCAAGCGUUGUUCGGAAUUACUGGGCGUAAAGGGCUCGUAGGUGGCCAACUAAGUCAGACGUGAAAUCCCUCGGCUUAACCGGGGAACUGCGUCUGAUACUGGAUGGCUUGAGUUCGGGAGAGGGAUGCGGAAUUCCAGGUGUAGCGGUGAAAUGCGUAGAUAUCUGGAGGAACACCGGUGGCGAAGGCGGCGUCCUGGACCAACACUGACACUGAGGAGCGAAAGCCAAGGGGAGCAAACGGG
rnacentral:rRNA from 1 species